GACUCGUCACACUAUCAUUAACUGAAUCCAUAGGUUAAUGAGGCGAACCGGGGGAACUGAAACAUCUAAGUACCCCGAGGAAAAGAAAUCAACCGAGAUUCCCCCAGUAGCGGCGAGCGAACGGGGAGGAGCCCAGAGCCUGAAUCAGCAUGUGUGUUAGUGGAAGCGUCUGGAAAGGCGCGCGAUACAGGGUGACAGCCCCGUACACAAAAGCGCAUGUGCUGUGAGCUCGAUGAGUAGGGCGGGACACGUGGUAUCCUGUCUGAAUAUGGGGGGACCAUCCUCCAAGGCUAAAUACUCCUGACUGACCGAUAGUGAACCAGUACCGUGAGGGAAAGGCGAAAAGAACCCCGGCGAGGGGAGUGAAAAAGAACCUGAAACCGUGUACGUACAAGCAGUGGGAGCACAGGUUUACCUGUGUGACUGCGUACCUUUUGUAUAAUGGGUCAGCGACUUAUAUUCUGUAGCAAGGUUAACCGUAUAGGGGAGCCGUAGGGAAACCGAGUCUUAACCGGGCGUUAAGUUGCAGGGUAUAGACCCGAAACCCGGUGAUCUAGCCAUGGGCAGGUUGAAGGUUGGGUAACACUAACUGGAGGACCGAACCGACUAAUGUUGAAAAAUUAGCGGAUGACCUGUGGCUGGGGGUGAAAGGCCAAUCAAACCGGGAGAUAGCUGGUUCUCCCCGAAAGCUAUUUAGGUAGCGCCUCGUGAAUUCAUCUCCGGGGGUAGAGCACUGUUUCGGCUAGGGGGCCAUCCCGGCUUACCAACCCGAUGCAAACUGCGAAUACCGGAGAAUGUUAUCACGGGAGACACACGGCGGGUGCUAACGUCCGUCGUGAAGAGGGAAACAACCCAGACCGCCAGCUAAGGUCCCAAAGUCAUGGUUAAGUGGGAAACGAUGUGGGAAGGCCCAGACAGCCAGGAUGUUGGCUUAGAAGCAGCCAUCAUUUAAAGAAAGCGUAAUAGCUCACUGGUCGAGUCGGCCUGCGCGGAAGAUGUAACGGGGCUAAACCAUGCACCGAAGCUGCGGCAGCGACGCUGAUGCGUUGUUGGGUAGGGGAGCGUUCUGUAAGCCUGUGAAGGUGGCCUGUGAGGGUUGCUGGAGGUAUCAGAAGUGCGAAUGCUGACAUAAGUAACGAUAAAGCGGGUGAAAAGCCCGCUCGCCGGAAGACCAAGGGUUCCUGUCCAACGUUAAUCGGGGCAGGGUGAGUCGACCCCUAAGGCGAGGCCGAAAGGCGUAGUCGAUGGGAAACGGGUUAAUAUUCCCGUACUUGGUGUUACUGCGAAGGGGGGACGGAGAAGGCUAUGUUGGCCGGGCGACGGUUGUCCCGGUUUAAGCGUGUAGGUGUGUGUUCCAGGUAAAUCCGGUUCACUUUAACACUGAGGCGUGAUGACGAGGCACUACGGUGCUGAAGCAACAAAUGCCCUGCUUCCAGGAAAAGCCUCUAAGCAUCAGGUAACAUCAAAUCGUACCCCAAACCGACACAGGUGGUCAGGUAGAGAAUACCAAGGCGCUUGAGAGAACUCGGGUGAAGGAACUAGGCAAAAUGGUGCCGUAACUUCGGGAGAAGGCACGCUGACACGUAGGUGAAGUGAUUUACUCAUGGAGCUGAAGUCAGUCGAAGAUACCAGCUGGCUGCAACUGUUUAUUAAAAACACAGCACUGUGCAAACACGAAAGUGGACGUAUACGGUGUGACGCCUGCCCGGUGCCGGAAGGUUAAUUGAUGGGGUCAGCGCAAGCGAAGCUCCUGAUCGAAGCCCCGGUAAACGGCGGCCGUAACUAUAACGGUCCUAAGGUAGCGAAAUUCCUUGUCGGGUAAGUUCCGACCUGCACGAAUGGCGUAAUGAUGGCCAGGCUGUCUCCACCCGAGACUCAGUGAAAUUGAACUCGCUGUGAAGAUGCAGUGUACCCGCGGCAAGACGGAAAGACCCCGUGAACCUUUACUAUAGCUUGACACUGAACAUUGAGCCUUGAUGUGUAGGAUAGGUGGGAGGCUUUGAAGCGUGGACGCCAGUCUGCAUGGAGCCGGCCUUGAAAUACCACCCUUUAAUGUUUGAUGUUCUAACGUGGACCCGUGAUCCGGGUUGCGGACAGUGUCUGGUGGGUAGUUUGACUGGGGCGGUCUCCUCCUAAAGAGUAACGGAGGAGCACGAAGGUUGGCUAAUCCUGGUCGGACAUCAGGAGGUUAGUGCAAUGGCAUAAGCCAGCUUGACUGCGAGCGUGACGGCGCGAGCAGGUGCGAAAGCAGGUCAUAGUGAUCCGGUGGUUCUGAAUGGAAGGGCCAUCGCUCAACGGAUAAAAGGUACUCCGGGGAUAACAGGCUGAUACCGCCCAAGAGUUCAUAUCGACGGCGGUGUUUGGCACCUCGAUGUCGGCUCAUCACAUCCUGGGGCUGAAGUAGGUCCCAAGGGUAUGGCUGUUCGCCAUUUAAAGUGGUACGCGAGCUGGGUUUAGAACGUCGUGAGACAGUUCGGUCCCUAUCUGCCGUGGGCGCUGGAGAACUGAGGGGGGCUGCUCCUAGUACGAGAGGACCGGAGUGGACGCAUCACUGGUGUUCGGGUUGUCAUGCCAAUGGCACUGCCCGGUAGCUAAAUGCGGAAGAGAUAAGUGCUGAAAGCAUCUAAGCACGAAACUUGCCCCGAGAUGAGUUCUCCCUGAGACUUAGAGUCUCCUGAAGGAACGUUGAAGACGACGACGUUGAUAGGCCGGGUGUGUAAGCGCAGCGAUGCGUUGAGCUAACCGGUACUAAUGAACCGUGAGGCUUAACCUUACA
rnacentral:rRNA from 2 species